rnacentral:rRNA from 1 species
GCGUGCUUAACACAUGCAAGUCGAACGAGAACGGAACUAGCUUGCUAGUUUGUCAGCUAAGUGGCGCACGGGUGAGUAAUAUAUAGUUAACCUGCCUUCAAGAAGGGAAUAAUUGUUGGAAACGACUUGUAAGACCCUAUAUGCCUUUAUCACAUAAGUGAGCAAGGGAAAUAUUUAUAGCUUGAAGAUGGGACUGUACGGUAUCAGAUUGUUGGUGAGGUAAUGGCUCACCAAGUCUAUGACGCCUAACUGGUUUGAGAGGAUGAUCAGUCACACUGGAACUGAGACACGGUCCAGACUCCUACGGGAGGCAGCAGUGGGGAAUAUUGCACAAUGGACGAAAGUCUGAUGCAGCAACGCCGCGUGGAGGAUGACACAUUUCGGUGCGUAAACUCCUUUUAUAUAAGAAGAUAAUGACGGUAUUAUAUGAAUAAGCACCGGCUAACUCCGUGCCAGCAGCCGCGGUAAUACGGGGGGUGCAAGCGUUACUCGGAAUCACUGGGCGUAAAGAGCAUGUAGGCGGGUAUUUAAGUUGGAAGUGAAAUCCUAUGGCUUAACCAUAGAACUGCUUCCAAAACUGAAUACCUAGAGUAUGGGAGAGGUAGAUGGAAUUUCUGGUGUAGGGGGUAAAAUCCGUAGAGAUCAGAAGGAAUACCGAUUGCGAAGGCGAUCUACUGGAAACAUUACUGACGCUAAGAUGCGAAAGCGUGGAGCAUCAAA